CCGAUCCUCCUGCUUCUACCUCCUUUACUGCUGGGUUUACAGGUGUAUACCACCACAUGCUGUUUAUAAAUGUGAACUUUUAUAAUAUAAAAGUCUUAUUAUCAGUAAAAUGAUAUAUGUAUUAUUUAGACCCUCCUUUGAUCCAGCAAAAUGUUGGAACAUUUUACUCAAAAAUCAUAAAAAAGAAAGAAAAGAAUACAGUAGAAAGAGCGGCUUCUGUGGUAGCCCAUGCCUUUAAUUCAAGCACUGGGGAGGCAGAGGAAGUCAGAUCUCUUGGUUGGUUCGAAGCCAGCCUUGUCUACAGAGUGAGGUCCAGGACAGCCAGAGCUACACAAAGAAAUCCUGUCUCAAAAAAACAAAAACAAAAAGAAAGAACUGGCUCUUGGUUUGAAUCCUUACAGAGCCUCUUGUUGUGCCUUUACAUCAUUAACCCAUCAGUUUCCUGCCUGUGUGUGGCUCUAACAAUAAUUACCCACGUGGCAGACGUGCUGAGCCCCUAAGAGUCACUCUGGUUAGUAUAGUUAAUAUUCAAGUCAGCUUGAUAGAUUUAGAGUCACCAUGGAAACGUUUCUCUGGGUGUGUCUCUGAGAAUACUUCUAGGAAGGUUUAAUUUCUAGGAAGCAUUUAUUGGGUUCUCUGCUUCUUCCUGACUGCAGACACUCUGUGACCAGCUGUCUCCAACUUCUGCCUGAACCCACCUGUCAUGAUGGACUCUACCUUGGAGCCCCAGCAAGGUAUCCGGGAGCUCAGCAUCUUCGACCAUGGCCACGCCACGUCUUCACAGUCUUGUGCACAGCCAUAGCAACGGGGAAUGGGCACUUUGUAGAGGAUGCCGUGGAACCAAAUCACCCUAGGUCAAACGGACAAGGUCUCAGCCUGAGAACGCGAAGCCCUUCACUUCUCCUCUGGCCGACCUUCAUCUCCCCAGCACCCAGGACACACCGCUAAUGUGUACCAGGUGGCCGGAACUAACUCCAGCAGGAUGUGCCCUCUGGAGCCCCAGGCGGGUGGCAACAAGGACCUGGCAGGCCUGCUCAAGCUCUAUGUGUGGUACAAGAGGCCAGCGGAUGAAGGGGGAGUAAAAUCAGGUCCCCACAGUCUGAUGUCUCUCCUCAGCCCCGGUACAGGUGCCCAGGAAAUCUCCACUGCGGAGCAGAGACUCAUAAAACACCCUGUGCUCCCGUGAGGGCCUGGAGUGGCCUUGUGCAUGUGCAAUCCCAUUACCGGGGACCCGGACACAGGUGGAUCCCUGGGGCUUGCUGACAGCCAGCCUCAUUUAAUUGGUGAGCUCCGGGUCCCUGUGAGAGACUGCGCCUCAGAAAAAUCAAGGUGCCUGGCAUUCCUGAGGGUGAUAUCUGAGGCGGACCUCUGUCCUCACGGCAUACUCAAGCACACACAGAAGGAAAAAGCAAGUGAGGCUAUCAGGCUGUAUAACAGCAUGACACCGUUUUAUUAAUGAAACAAAAGGAGUCUUUAUGAGACGGAUAUCUGCCAAGGUGUUAACAGCUGAUUUUCGUUGUUUUCUUUUGGCUUAUCUGUGUUUCCUGUUGUUUUUUUUUUUUUCAAUAAAUAUCAAUUAUUUGCAUGGUUUUA